rnacentral:rRNA from 1 species
GGAUUAGAUACCCUGGUAGUCCACGCCGUAAACGAUGCACACUAGGUGGCGAUGCCUCUGACGGCGGCGCCGCCGAAGCAAAAGUACUAAGUGUGCCGCCUGGGGAGUACGGCCGCAAGGCUAAAACUCAAAGGAAUUGACGGGGGCUCACACAAGCGGUGGAGCAUGUGGCUUAAUUCGAAGCAACGCGAAGAACCUUACCCAGGUUUGACAUGCUUGGAUGUUCUUCUGGGAUAACCAGGAGCGCUGCCCUUCGGGGUGAAACUUGCACAGGUGUUGCACGGCUGUCGUCAGCUCGUGCCG